rnacentral:tRNA from 1 species
GCCGACGUAGCUCAAACGGCAGAGCAGCGGUUUUGUAAACCGCUUGUUGCGGGUUCAAGUCCCACCGUCGGCU